AAGAAGCACAUGAAAGGUGUGUCUCGGAUUACUUUUGUGGACUCCAGGCACACUACAGCCUCUGUGACUACAAUUUCCUUCCUGGUAAAUUUGCUUCCCUAGCUCAUUCUUUAUCCCUGCAUAGAGAAGGAAGCAUCAAGCUUCAGCUUGCCUGCCAGCUCCAUUUGAGUCCCAUUCUGACUUUUCAUCCUGGGCCUCUCAAUUGCCAGAGUGAAGCCACACACAAACUGGAGGAUCAGAACCUCAUCAUCUGCUUGGGUAGCUUACGAUCCAAAGGUUGCAUUAGACUAGCAUGUAGACCGUCUGAACUAGAUUGGGUAAGUACGGGCAUGGGUGUCCAUGGGUAAUGACUGCCUGCAAAAUCUGGGCACUCAAUUGCGAUGUUUCUCCAUGAUGAAACUGGGCCUCUAAUCAUCUACAACUUGCCAAAUAUUUUUUCAAGUCUGUCAUCCUAACGCCAUAAAUCCAUGUCUGAUGGUACAAGAACACUGGUGGUAAAUGCAAAGCCUGGUGCAUGCUUUAGACAAGGACUAUUCAUAUGACGACCUUCUGACUGCUGAUUAUGGAUGGAAUAACAUCGGUCAACUCCACUUGCCGUCAUCAGAUUUCAGUUGAAGCAUGCAGAGUACAUCCUCAUCGUGCCUCAAAAAGGCAACCAGCAUCAUCAGGGACCCACACCACCCUGGCCACACAAUAAUUUCACUCCUGCCUUCAGGAUGAACAUAUAGCCUGAAAACUGUAACGUCCAGGUUCAGGAACAGCUUCUUCCCUACAGACUUUAAACACUACAACACUAAGCUCUGAAUUCCAUAGACUUGGAGGCAUUGGUUUUGUCUUUUUGCACUAUUAUUGUUUGUUUGUUUGUUUUUAUGUGAAUGUUUAAUCGAUUUAAACCAGCAUCUGCCGUUCUUUCCUUAUUCUGUUGUGCUGCUGAAAGUAAGAAUUUAAUUGUUCUGUCUGGGACACAGCGAUAAAACACUCUUGAUUCUUGACUCUACAUCUGAGGAACAAUACGUCUGUCAAAGCAACAUUUCAGUGUUAAAAUAAGAAUGCUCUAAAUUCAUAUCAGGUCAGGCAAUAGCUGCAAAGACAACGACUGAGUUGAUAUUUCAAUCCGAUAAAAGUUCAUCAACCUGGAACGUUAUCACCAUCCAGCAUUGGGAUUUUAGUGCAGAUUUCCAGCAUCCGCAGUAUUUUUGCUUCUGAACAUAUCCUCAGUGCUACAUUUAAUGUCAGUGUCUGCUCACAUCUCUGAGUGAUGCACAAAACUUAAACCACGCAAAUUAGCAAUGAAUGUAAGGAUCACCACAAUAGACAUUAACUUUCAGACGUGAAACUGAGCCUCUUCGAUAAGGACUGCAAGACGAUGUCAUUUCUCCUAUGAUCAGAGAGGAGGAAUCUUUAUUUUUAGGGGACUAACAAGCUUGCUGGAGUCAAAACACAAUACUCGGCUCUAGUGGUUUUAAAUAUGAUGUCUAUUUUUAGUUGUUUAUUAUUAUAUUCAGCAAGGACUUGGUACCUUGCCUUACUUGGAAUGGCAGCUCUGAGCUUGUGAAGCAGGUAAAAUAUCCAAGACUGGCUUGGAUAUGUGUCUGCUCAAAAUACUGUGAUCUUCCCACGUUAGUUCACAACAUAUUUUGUCAUCUGGCUGGGAGAUAAUAGCUACUAUCCUCCGGUUGGAAGCCAUUGAUGUUUACAGUACUUGCACAUGAAGGAAUUUAUUUUUAAACUAUCAGCCCAAACUGUAAAAUUUCAAGUCAGCUAUGUCACACCUCUGCUUUGAGAAAUCGUAUGACUGAAUAUUGUAUUGAAUGCAUCCUACAUGUUACGUUUAUUGCAAAAUUGUAUCGAGCAUAAUUUGCUCUGACUUCUAAUAGGUGUUCUCUAAAGGGCGACACAGUGGCACAGUGGUAGAGCUGCUGCCUCACAGCGCUGGAGACCUGAGUUCAAUCCUGACUGCGGGUGCUGUCUGUACGGAGUUUGUACGUUUUUUUUGUGACCACGUGGGUUUUCUCAGGUGACCCAGUUUCCUCCCACAUUCUAAAGACAUACAGGUUAAUUGUAGGUUAAUUGGCUUCUGUAAAAUGCCCCUAGUGUGUAGGGUGCGAAAGUGGGAUAAUAUUGAACUAGUGCGAACAGGUAAUCAAUGAUUGAUGUGGACUUAAUGGGCCUCUAAAACUAAAAAUAAAAAAACUAAAAAUAAAAUAAAAAUAAAAAUGAAUAUUCACUUCAACCUUGAUAUACAUCUGGAACAUUUACACUUCUCACUGCUUUAUGAACAUGAUGGAAAUUUCACACUGUCUAGUAAUGUCUGUGAGCCGGUUUGCUGGUCUAUACAAAUAACUUGAACAAAAAUAUCUCUGAUUUUCCUGGUUGUGUCACCUUGCAUCAAAUUUAGCAAUGAUGUUGUCGGAGCCAGUCAGAUUCAGUUUACUCAAUGCAGCAGUGACCACUGUGCAAUUGGGUCCUUGUCUUUCAACAUUCCUCCUUCUUAAUACCUAGUGAUCUUGUUUGAUUUAGCAAAGCAUGGAAACUCUCAAGAGAAGAUUGGAAUGUUCUUAUAUUUUGAUGUCUGUUUAAUCAAUUCAGUUUUUUUUUUAAAUAUUGGGUUGAAUGUAUUAACCUAAAGGAGAAAUAACUAAUAUGUUAAGAUUCGUCUUUCAAAGAGGAUUCAUGCUAUUAUAGAAGCAGUGUGCAGUGGGGAGCAAAGAGCAAAAGAUUGGCCUGUAUUCACCCUGUCAAUUGCAGCAAUACUGAUAAAGUAAUGGUGCAGAACUGCGAAGUGGUCUCAAGAUUCAAGAUUCAAGAAAUUUAUUGCCAUGUCAACAAGUUGAUAGGAAUGUGUCUUGGUUCGCUCUCAGACAGAUACAAUACAAUACAGUACAAUACAAUACACCACAAUAAAUAAUAGACAAUACCGUACAAAGGACAAUAUGUACAGGAAGGACAGUACCCAGCAGCGUCAUAUUAAGCGUAAGUGCAAGUGCAAAAGAAAGUGCAAAGUGAUUAGUGCAAAUUCAAAUA